AUGGAGAAAAUCAAAAUGACUCAGGACACCUAUAGCUUUGCCAGCUUUGACAAGGACUCUCUGGACAAAAAGAGGGAACAUUCACAUUCAAAAGAAUUUUCUUCCCAGGAUUUCACAGUCUCUCCUCCAACUCUUCUCCACUCCUUUAGCUCUGGAUCUGACAAGCAAACUCCUGCCACCAGAAAAGUGAUGAUUGAAAUAACUUGUGCGCCUAUUAGGGCCUGGCCCGCGGUGGAAUGGGCGCCGCAGAAAGACAAGAAGCCCAAGAAGUCAACCUGGAAGUUUAAUUUGGACCUUACUCAUCCAGUAGAAGAUGGAAUUUUUGAUUCUGGAAAUUUUGAACAAUUUCUACGGGAGAAGGUUAAAGUCAAUGACAAAACUGGAUAUCUUGGGAAUGUUGUUCACACUGAAUGCUUCAAUAAAAUCACAUUCUUUCUCAGAAACAGUUCUCUAAAAGGUGUUUGAAAUACCUUACCAAGAAAUACCUUAAGAAGAGCAAUCUUCAUGAUUGGCUUUGAGUGGUUGCAUCUGACAGGAGACUUAUGAACUUCAUUACUUCCAGGUUAGUCAAGAAGAUGAAUCAGAGUUGGAGGACUAG